GCCCCCGGACCCCGGCCCGGCACCGGCCGCGCCCCGAGCCCCCGCCGCCGUGCUGGCCCCGGACCGGGGCGCCAGCGAGCACCGGCCCCGCAGGGAAGGGCCAGGGGGGCUGCGGGAGCCGCCCCACCGCUGGCAUCGAGUGCCGGGUCCCACACCGGCGUCACAGCAGCCCCCGCAGGCUGGGGGCACCGUGCCUGGAAAGCCGCCCGGUGGGAAAGGGCCUGGGGCUGUCGGGCGGCAGCUGCUGGAGAUGAGCCCCCAGUGUGCCCAGGUGGCCGAGGAGGCUGAGAGCAUCCUGGCUUGUGCCAGAAACGGUGUGGCCAGCGGGAGCAGGGCAGUGACCAUCCCCCUGUACGCUGCAGAAGCGCAGCUGCCGCACAGACCCUGCUUCUCUUCCGCAGAGGGGAUGACUCACCGUGUACACACUGAUUAAUGUCAAGCUCUGCCUCUCCUUUGAGUAAUGGCAUUAACUGGGGACGGGUUUGGAGCUGCAGACUUCCAAGCCCAGUUACAGACAAGUCCCUCGACACCGGAUCAGGCCAAAUAUUCAGCCAGAUGCCACAGGCGCAGGGGCUGGGCUCCUCCGAAAGAAGCCGUGCCCGGGAGCAGGGACAGGAGCUGUCGGGCACAGCUGCCACAAGAGGUCCCUGCACGCUCGCUGGAGCGCCGGGGCGAGCGGCCGAUCCGAUGGGAUUCCUCAGUCACGCCUUAUUUGCAGAUAAUGCCUUUUUCCACCCAAAUUUCAAGACGUUUUCCAACAGUCCGCAAACGGCCUGGGAGGCAGCCCAGCCAGGGGACGGGUCGGUGGCGGUGCCUGCUCCCAGCAGGGCAGGGAACUCCUUCCAGAUACCAGCAAGGAUGCGCCUAGGUCCAACACGUAACACCAUGGGGACCACAGCUGAUCCCACGGCAGGGGCAUCACAGCAGCAGCCGGGGUGUAAACUGAGGGUCCGGCAGGUUUUUCAAUAGCUGGACAGUGUCUUUUUUUCUCCCUCUCACAGGCUGGAGCUUCUCUGCAGCCCGUCUGAGAAAGAGAACCCAUUUCCCACAAUAAAGAGCUGGAAGCUUAAUGAUAACCCCUCAUAUGAAUUCUGCCAGACAAGCUGUGUCCUCCUCCAGAUGCUCCCCACUACUCCUGGGUGGGGGUUUGGGUGUGCUUUCACAGCUCCAGCAUCCCUUACACAAGGAGGAGCCCACUUGGCUCUCCACCACCUGGGGCUUGCUGUAGCCGGCAGAUGUGGGAGCUUCUGACACGGCACAGUCCUUCUGGCAAAAGUCAUGCUCCUGUUUUUGGAAAGCCUCACUUCCUUAAUCAGCCUUUUUUAAGCCAGGGAAUCAUAAAGCCCAUCUGCUCAUCUAAUGCCAGACCUGGCUCACACCUGAAAUAAUUUGAGGAGUCCAAGAUCUCAAAACAAAUCAAGCAGCUUGGCUUCCAAACUUUAAUUAGCCAUUGUCUUCAUCCCACUCUAAACUGUGUCACCACCUUAUCUGCUAGGCCAUAGGAAGUCAGAUGAUACAGGAAUGCUUUGCUCUAUAUAUCCACAUUUUCAUUCAGAAAGUCUGCAACUCCACAUUUAUGAAAGGAUCUACUGUGCAAAAUGCACACCCUGUGCAGCAAAGCAUGCCCAGGCAUCGCAGAGGUAGUGGAUGCAAACUUGAGUGCCCACCCCUUCCAACCAGAAACACCUUCCUGUUGUGGAAGCUGGAUAUUCUCCAGGUGGAACUGGGGAUAUACUCGCCAUAGCCACGGGAGACAGGCACAUCAGUCCCUGUGAACAUAGUGAGCACAAGUGUUUCUGCGAGCACUGACAGUGCAGAGAGUUUUUACUAUGUUUUCCCCCAGCCCUUAGCUCCACUUCACAUGCUCACCUCCCCAGGAUUUAAUGCAAGAAACACCGAAGAGUGCGUCACUGAACCGCUGCCCUCAGGACCUGGUCUUGUUCGGCAGAGGAAAUCAUCUGGUUUGCAUCGUAGCCCGUCCAUUCACCCUACUCAAGUCUGUGAGCUCAAUGUCCCGAGAGAAAGACUCUUCCUUUUCCCUCCUCCAGUGUUUUGACCAUCCCUGCAGGUGUUCUGCCGCCCAGGUUGAUCAUCCUUCCUGAGAUCAUUCCUUGAACAAUAAAUACAAUGUCUCCUGGGAGCUUCACAGCACCGGGAUGCUCUGGUGCCAGCUACCAGCUGCUGGUCACUGUGUGGCUGAACACAGCACACUGCCUUCUGCAGCCUGGCAUGCGGGAAUGUCCCCCCCUUACCAAUAGCCAGCGCUACCCAGGCAGAUCCUACUUUGCCCCAUGGCAGGUUGCUCUGGAUGCUCUUGCUUUUGGCCUUCUUCCUCUUUCCCAGGACUGGAGGUCUUUUUUUAUCAGGAUUUAGCACAAGGGACCUGUAGGAGAAGCCUGUGACAACAGUACAGCAUCCCUAAGGAUGCUGCCGGCUCAGCUGUGUCUCAAGGGCUUGGGCUCGACCAGCUGCCGUGAUUUAGUUGUGCAAAGGAUGUGCUCUCUCCCUCACACUCAGGUUGUACAGGUGUGCCGUGGGAUAGAACAAAAUUUCGCUGACAGACACACUGACUGGCAAAACCCCUUCAAGCACAGCAGCACAGGCAGUUCCUUCUAUUUCUCCUCCACUUUCAGUAGCUGUCAUGCCCCAAAUUUAUCUGCUUCUGAAUUGUUUAUCUGCUAUAGCAAGGUUUCAGGUUCCUUCUUUCCUGAUGGUGAGCAGUGAAACAUGGGGCAGGGCGUCUGCCCAGCCUGUAUCCCAUCUUUCCCCAUCGCCGGACAUGAAUGCUCAGGAAAAAAAUGUAAAACAGCACAUGUAAUUAUUCUUACCCCAUUUAUGCUAUGAAUAAGCAAAUUCAUUCUCACUAAAUAUUGCCUUCUCCACAUCUUCUUCCCUUGUGGGAUAAAUAUUUUUUCCCCUAUUUAGCUCCCCAUUCUCAAGCUUAAGUAAUUUCUGACGGGUAUCUAUGUGCUUUCUGGUUACAUCAUGACGUAUUUAUGACCACAUGUGGUUGGGGUUUUUUUUGCAAUUCAGGCAGGUUCAGAAUGAGUCCUGCAAGGUGGAAGCACGUCUCAGCCCCUACACCUACUCAGUGCAGCAUCACACAUUGCUGAGCCCACUUGAUUCCUCCUGUGUUACAAAUAUAAGCACAGGAGCUUCCUAACUGCGUCUCCUGCUGCUGCUGGCUCCGCAACUUGGAACACGUUAGGUUCCCUCCUGAAUUCUCUUGUUAUUAAUAUCACAAACCAAGCUGUUCUGAGAGCGGUGUCCCAUUAAUCAUUUUAGCUCUGCUGCAGUUUUCACCUCGCUUCCUCUUCCUGUGCCUGAACAAGUCUUCAAUAACAUUUGACUCUGUGGGUAAUGCUUGGUUAAAAUUGGCAGGUCUGCUGGGGCAGAGAAGGACCUGAGCAAGCUAGGGGCAAGCAAAGUGGGACAAGGGUGCAGCCACACGGCCGUGGCUGCAUUACAGCAUGAAAAACUGUGCUACACCAGCUGAUGGUAGCAGGGACUUGAAAGGAGGAGAGCUACCCCUCUUAAACCUUCGCCUCUAAAUCUGGAUUUUUCCGGAGUGCUGACAACAUGGGAGAGAUGCAGCAAAAGUGAAGAUAUCUAAUAAAAUAAAAAUAAAAAAAAAAAAAAAAAAAAAAGGUCAGCUCAGUGUCUCGAGUGAGUCAGUGCCAAUGUCGGCAGCUGGAACAGUUAGAGAUUUCUGGUGCCUACCUGGGCUCUGUGUUUGAGGGCACCGCUUCCUUUUACUCCCUUCCUCUGUUUAGUCCUGCUGUGUUACAAGGAAAGGUCUUAACCACUCACUCUGGGUUACCUAACAAAGGGCUAAAAGAUGCUUACAGAGCAUCUUCCUGAAAAUCUGCCUCUGAUACCAUCCCAUCACCUGAAUCCCUCGAGGGCACGCUGUGUGUUCCUAGGUGCUGGCUCUCAGACACGCAGUAACACAGCAUCCCCGCAGCUAACCCAAACCUUCCCUCUCACACCCAGUACCUUUUCCAACUUUCUAUCCUUUGCCAUUGUCUUUGUCCCCAUCAGAGACAGGCAUUUUGUUUUGUCUUUAUCCCUUUGCAUUUUAUAAAAGCCCUUUCCUGGGUGCUCGGCUGCAUCCAACAGCAUCCAUCCGCAUGCAGCAGCAUCCAUCCGCAUCCAGCAGCAUCUAUCUGCAUCCAGCAGCAUUCAGCAGCUGAAUGAGCUGCUCAGCCUGUAGUGAGAACAGCACCGCAUAGGACCGAGCUCCAUCUGGCUCGUCCCAAAGCCUCCCACAGCUGCACA